UACGAAGGUCCCAAGCGUUAUCCGGAUUUAUUGGGUUUAAAGGGUGCGUAGGCGGCUUAUUAAGUCAGUGGUGAAAGCCCAAAGCUUAACUUUGGAAUUGCCAUUGAUACUGACGAGCUUGAGUAGAUUUGAGGCGGGCGGAAUGUGUCGUGUAGCGGUGAAAUGCUUAGAUAUGAAACAGAACACCGAUUGCGUAGGCAGCUCGCUAAACUCUUACUGACGCUGAGGCACGAAAGCAUGGGGAUCAAACAGG
rnacentral:rRNA from 1 species